UGACCGCUGGCGGCGUGCCUAAUACAUGCAAGUCGAGCGAACAGACGAGGAGCUUGCUCCUCUGACGUUAGCGGCGGACGGGUGAGUAACACGUGGAUAACCUACCUAUAAGACUGGGAUAACUUCGGGAAACCGGAGCUAAUACCGGAUAAUAUAUUGAACCGCAUGGUUCAAUAGUGAAAGACGGUUUUGCUGUCACUUAUAGAUGGAUCCGCGCCGCAUUAGCUAGUUGGUAAGGUAACGGCUUACCAAGGCAACGAUGCGUAGCCGAACUGAGAGGGUGAUCGGCCACACUGGAACUGAGACACGGUCCAGACUCCUACGGGAGGCAGCAGUAGGGAAUCUUCCGCAAUGGGCGAAAGCCUGACGGAGCAACGCCGCGUGAGUGAUGAAGGUCUUCGGAUCGUAAAACUCUGUUAUUAGGGAAGAACAAAUGUGUAAGUAACUAUGCACGUCUUGACGGUACCUAAUCAGAAAGCCACGGCUAACUACGUG
rnacentral:rRNA from 1 species